rnacentral:rRNA from 1 species
GUUCCGACCUGCACGAAUGGCGUAACGACUUCCCCACUGUCUCCAGGAUAUGCUCAGCGAAAUUGAAUUCUCCGUGAAGAUGCGGAGUACCCGCGGUUAGACGGAAAGACCCCGUGCACCUUUACUGCAGCUUCAGAGUGGCAUUAGGAAAGAAUUGUGUAGCAUAGGUGGGAGGCUUUGAAGCACUGGCGCCAGCCGGUGUGGAGCCAUAGGUGAAAUACCACCCUGUUGUUUUCUGAUGUCUAACCCAGCACCGUCAUCCGGUGCGGGGACCCUCUGUGGCGGGU